UCCUGUGACUAAAGCAACAGCGCAUCCAGAGGCAGUAAGCCACUGCUUGGAUGGCAGAGAUGUUUACAGAUCCUGGAGUCACUUGUGCUUGGCCCUUCAAAAUUGAUCAGCCCUGAGA